CAGCCGCCACGGUAAUACGAAGGGGGCUAGCGUUGUUCGGAUUUACUGGGCGUAAAGCGCACGUAGGCGGAUCGAUCAGUCAGGGGUGAAAUCCCAGAGCUCAACUCUGGAACUGCCUUUGAUACUGUCGAUCUGGAGUAUGGAAGAGGUGAGUGGAAUUCCGAGUGUAGAGGUGAAAUUCGUAGAUAUUCGGAGGAACACCAGUGGCGAAGGCGGCUCACUGGUCCAUUACUGACGCUGAGGUGCGAAAGCGUGGGGAGCAAACAGGAUUAGAUACCCGCGUAGUCCCUGUCUCUUAUAC
rnacentral:rRNA from 1 species